GACGAACGCUGGCGGCGUGCUUAACACAUGCAAGUCGAACGAGGGUAGCAGUAAUGUUAUCUUAGUGGCGGACGGGUGAGUAACGCGUGGGCAAUCUGCCUCUUACAGGGGGAUAACACAGGGAAACUUGUGCUAAUACCGCAUAAUAUCAUUGAGUGGCAUCACUUGAUGAUCAAAGGAGCAAUCCGGUGAGAGAUGAGCCCGCGUCCGAUUAGCUAGUUGGCGGUGUAACGGACCACCAAGGCGACGAUCGGUAGCCGAACUGAGAGGUUGAUCGGCCACAUUGGGACUGAGACACGGCCCAGACUCCUACGGGAGGCAGCAGUGGGGAAUAUUGCACAAUGGAGGAAACUCUGAUGCAGCAACGCCGCGUGAAGGAUGAAGGUUUUCGGAUUGUAAACUUCUUUGACCAGGGACGAAUAAUGACGGUACCUGGAAAACAAGCCACGGCUAACUACGUGCCAGCAGCCGCGGUAAUACGUA
rnacentral:rRNA from 1 species